UACUUCGACAUUUGAGGUAGGGGUGUCGCUUUAAAGGAGAGGAGCCAGUAGUAAAAAUCAAUAGCCGUGUAGGAACUGCCAGCAUCGCUAACGUCAAGCUGCAGUUCCGGGCGGUUGCUUGAGAGGGAAGGAACUGUAAUAGGUGUUGACUGAAAUCCCUUGUCUAAUAUAUUUUUAUCAGCUGCAACGCUUGAAGGACCAUCAGCAUGUAGAUAAGUUAAUGAAGAUCACCUCGAACAAAUACGGAGUGGGAAUUGAAGAACCUGAGUAAACCGAAACAUAUGAUGGAAGUUUAGUGCAGACAAGGAGAAUCGUUAUCUGGCAGGAUGCACUGCCAAAUGCCUGAAGAGGAUAUCAGCAUAAUUUUCCAAGAUGAAAACAGGUUAAAAACAGAAGAAUCUGGUAGACAGAAGUUUAUGAUGGGACUUUGUGCAGACAUGACAGACGUUUUUUUUUUCUUUGGGAAGCGGGGCAGAAACUUCACGGAGCGUACUGCACACAAUUCAGAGACUCACAGAAAAUGUAACAUAAGUGCCAUAAAUAAAUAAAUAUAAGCAUUAGACUGAAUAAAUUUUUCAAACAGAGCAUACUUUCUGGUACAUUAUACUUUUGAGAGUGAUAUUUAUUGAGAGAUUCAAUUCUGAUAAUGCUUGCUAGUGCCAUUAAAUAAAUACAGAUUGUGUCAUAAUUAAUAGCAAACACUGACAUGGGUGAAAGUAGGUUAUAAGAGUAACAAAAAUGCACCACUGACUUCAGUCUGAAGUAUUGUUCAAAAUUGGAGAUGAGUGACAUAUAUGAAAAGUAAAUUGUAAAAAACAAGUGAUUUGUAAAAUACAGCUGGAAAUUCAAGAGUAAAUGUAUGCUGUGAUAUCAGUCUCAAUAAGUAUCAGAGAGAAAAUAUUGAACUUGAGGCAAGAAAGACAGACAGUAUGAAACAAACAAAUUAAACAGAACAUAAAGUCAGGAAAAUCUAAAUGUGAGAAAGGGACACAUUCAUCUUUGCUGUUUUAGGGAUGUAUUUCAAAUGGUUAUGAAGUGGAGCAGUUGGUGAAAUUCCAGUACACAUGUUAGAGAUGGGAUGAUGAAUGUAUCAUUUUAGACAAUGGGGCUUAUUUUUCUCUCAACAUGAUAGAUCUACAGUAUUAUUCUGUGUAUGAUACCUAUAAAAGGAGCAAAGUAAAAUGUGAUACUAAAGGACAUUGAUUGAUAUAGAAUCAUGACACUGUUUGUCAGAGGUAAUCGUCAAUAUUAAGUCCUUCUCAGUGUACAAAAAUUUAUAUGUCCCAAAAUCAUCUCUGUGCUGAACAUGAAUAAAUAGUUUCUUAUAUUGAA